CAUGUGACGUCAUUCUAUGCGCCAGCUGUGGCCGUUUGGAGACCGAAUGCGUCACUGCGGCUGCGACGAGGCUGUCCCAUUUAGAAGACUCCUUCCAAUGUAUAAAUGAAUAAAUACAAGAAUAAAUACAUGAUGAACGUGUGUUAGUGAGGUAGGCGGUCCGAACCUCAUUCUUAAGCAGGAUUGGUCGAGUCGGGGAGCAAGACAGAAGCAACCGAUUCUUAGCGAGUCAUCUCUGUGGACGAGGUCAAAAACUAUCUAGCAGCACUCAUGGCUUCGACCGGGCGGCCGCUGGCAGACCUGCUGCGGGAUGUUUUCCAUGCUAGAUCCCUUGUGUAGACUAAAUUACUAUCGCCGGUGAUGAGUGAUUUAUUUAUUCAUGCUGUGCGUCAGAUCGCAUUCCUGUAAAGUGUGCGAUGAUAUCGUUAGCCAACAUGUGUCUUCUGCAACGUCCUUAUUCUCUGAUUAUAGCUUAUCCUCUUCACUUGAUUCUAGCCGAGGUUUCUAGACCGUUUGGUCCAUAUAUUGGAGGGAGAAGGAGGCGAACUGUUGCUGCGCCUGCACGGCUUCAUUCGUACACUCACUCUUUCUGUUGUAUUGAGGACAAACCGAUAAGCCAGAGACAGACUUGCUGCUGCAGGACUAGGGGGAAACGUCUUACAUUCCAAGGUAGUCAUACUGAUCCAGAUGACUUUAGAGAAUUUAUUUUAGAGGCAUAUCCAAAACUCAGACAAGGGAGGAUUUGAGUUGCUCAAAAUCUCUGGAACAACACGAAGUCGCCAACUGAUCAUCAUACCAUGUCCCAAUGAGGGUUACCAUGUGAGACAUUUGAAAGAUCCACAAACACAGAUUGGUCACGCUACAAUUUUCAUCCGACCACUCCAAAGAAUCCUGAAUCUGGAACCCUGCAUGUCAACCAGAAUGCAGUAAUGAGCUAGUUGGACCACCUCAGAAAUGUGUGACGUGUGGAGAGGAGUUCCCUCUUACAAGAAUCAAGGCUCCCAGUGAUGAGUGCGUGAGGUAUUGCUCUACAGAACUAAAACGUCACAUUUGUCAAGCACUCAAGUAGUCGUACAUCAGACAUGAAGCAUUAGGCUCUGGAGUCUGCCAAAAGAUGUAAAGCAUGUUGAAUGUGGAUGAUCCUGUAUGAUCCUGAAUAUUGGUCUUGAGGGAAAGUUGAAUUUGAAUGGAUUUAUUCUAUUCUAUUCAUAUGACCAUUCUUUUCUGGUUGCAGUGUUUUUGUGAAUGUGUAAUAUAAAAUAUACUGGCCCCAAUAACAAAACGUGCUUCUCUUUACCCAAGACCAUCACAGAGCAGUGGUGAGGUCGAAAUUGUGGUGACCACAGAAAGUGCCUCCCGAAGUGAAGGUAGAUUUGUGAGCAUGUUGACAAGACUACAAGUGAGACAACAAGGGCCAGCAACACAAACUAUUGCGUGCCACCUCUCAGGGACGUGUGGCUGCUCCUGAGAUAGUUGACCUAGAUCCCACUGAUUUCUACAGGAUCACCCAAAGUAUUCAGUGGCUGAUUGAUAUUUCCUUACUAAUUCUGUAUGAAAGUUUGAAUGUCUAUGUCCUUUACAUUCUGCACUGUCAAUGUUCUUUCACUUUUCUUUUUUAAUUGAAGUACCAGGAGGAACUCUUCUUUUUGAGGGGGAACAAGAUCAUCUGACUCCCUCCACUUGGCAUUACCUUUUGGAGAGUGACUUCUUUGUUGUUGCUGGCCAAAUGAUUGGUCAUUCCUCCAUAAUGGGCCAUGCCUUGGAGGACUCAGCCCAGCUAUCCUGCAUGUGCUCUUUGGUGGAUCCCCAGAAGAAGCCAUAAUAGAUAUUAAGGACUGUGCUGACCUUGACACAAAGUGGUAAAAUACAUUUUUCCAGUAAGAUUUGAAUGAUAAAAAUUCGGGGCAAGGACAAUAAAAGUAAUACCUGAUGUCAGAAAUUUUUCUCAUACAUUUCUACCGACAAAAUAUCUAAUAACUGAAUAUUUAAAGUGUUAUUUGAUUACGAUCAUAAGCCUGCUACAAACAAAUAUUAUUGAGUUGGGUUAAAAAGGAGCACAGCAGUCAUCAGUUAGUCCUGUCUGUUUUAAUCAGCAAAAUGUGUAUUUGUGAUUCAAUGAAGAGAAAAACAUUUUCUCUAAUAAACUUUUUAUGUUUUUG